rnacentral:rRNA from 1 species
AUUGAACGCUGGCGGCAUGCCUAACACAUGCAAGUCGAGCGGUAGAGAGGUGCUUGCAUCUCUUGAGAGCGGCGGACGGGUGAGUAAUGCCUAGGAAUCUGCCUAGUGGUGGGGGAUAACGUUCGGAAACGGACGCUAAUACCGCAUACGUCCUACGGGAGAAAGCGGGGGGAUCUUCGGACCUCGCGCCAUUAGAUGAGCCUAGGUCGGAUUAGCUAGUUGGUGAGGUAAUGGCUCACCAAGGCGACGAUCCGUAACUGGUCUGAGAGGAUGAUCAGUCACACUGGAACUGAGACACGGUCCAGACUCCUACGGGAGGCAGCAGUGGGGAAUAUUGGACAAUGGGCGAAAGCCUGAUCCAGCCAUGCCGCGUGUGUGAAGAAGGUCUUCGGAUUGUAAAGCACUUUAAGUUGGGAGGAAGGGUAGUAACCUAAUACGUUGCUACUUUGACGUUACCGACAGAAUAAGCACCGGCUAACUUCGUGCCAGCAG